rnacentral:RNase_P_RNA from 1 species
CGGGCCGUCCGACCCGUCGCUGCGCCUCGAAGCAAAGCCGCGGCGCAGAGAAAAGUCCGGACUCGCGAGGACCGGAAGCUUCCGGUUCGGAAAGGCCGCUCGGGCUAAGAACCCGAGGGACGGGGCGGCGUAAGUUCCCCGUUACGUCAAGUGCAACAGAGAGCAGACCAGCCGAUGGUUCGGAUCUUCCGGGCACAGGUGAUGGGUGAAAGGGUGGGGUAAGAGCCCACCGGCGGUACCCCGCGAGGGGCCGGCCAGGUAAACCACCGGUGCGAGCAAGCCAAAUUGUCCCGGGGCCUUCGGGCUCCGGGCUGGUAGGCGCGGCUCCUCUAAGAGGAGCCCGGGAGAAUCUCUCCCGGAGAUGGAUGGCGGGAUAGAGCAGAAUCCGGCUUACGGGACGGCCCGACUU